GGGUCCGCACAAGCGGUGGAGCAUGUGGUUUAAUUCGAUAAUACGCGAGGAACCUUACCUAGGCUAGAAUGCGAGUGACAUCCAGAGAGAUCUGGAGUUCUUCGGACACAAAGCAAGGUGCUGCAUGGUUGUCGUCAGCUCGUGCCGUGAGGUGUUGGGUUAAGUCCCGCAACGAGCGCAACCCCUGUUUUAGUUGCCAGCAAGUAAUGUUGGGGACUCUAGAAAGACUGCCUGCGUAAGCAGAGAGGAAGGAGGGGACGACGUCAAAUCAGCAUGGCCCUUAUGCCUAGGGCUACACACGUGCUACAAUGGCGUAUACAAAGGGUAGCGAACCAGCGAUGGUAAGCCAAUCUCUAAAAGUACGUCUCAGUUCGGAUUGGAGUCUGCAACUCGACUCCAUGAAGCUGGAGUUGCUAGUAA
rnacentral:rRNA from 1 species